GACAGAGGGUGCAAACGUUGUUCGGAAUUACUGGGCGUAAAGCGUGUGUAGGCGGUUCGUUAAGUCGGAUGUGAAAGCCCUCGGCUCAACCGUGGAAGUGCACUCGAAACUGCAUAGCUAGAGUCCUGGAGAGGAAGGUGGAAUGCUUGGUGUAGAGGUGAAAUUCGUAGAUAUCAAGCGGAACACCGGUGGCGAAGGCGGCCUUCUGGACAGUGACUGACGCUGAGACGCGAAAGCGUGGGGAGCAAACAGG
rnacentral:rRNA from 1 species